GCCAUGGCGACGGGCCCGGGCUGUGGGCGCGGAGGGCCGCGCUAUGGGGAGUGCCCCGCGGAAGAGCCGGGCGGUGCGGCAGGCCCGGAGCGAAGGCGCCCGGCAGAGAGCACGCAGAAGCUGCAAGGAGUGCAGUGCGAAUUGACCACAGCCAGUUUUCUUUGUGGAACAGAAGCAAAUAGAAGGUCAUGAGAAAAUUUUAAAGACCCAUAAAGAAGACAAGCCUCAGGAACUGCUGGAAAUGAAUGGGAA